AGUGAACGCUGGCGGUAGGCCUAACACAUGCAAGUCGAACGGCAGCACAGUAAGAGCUUGCUCUUACGGGUGGCGAGUGGCGGACGGGUGAGGAAUACAUCGGAAUCUACUUUUUCGUGGGGGUUAACGUAGGGAAACUUACGCUAAUACCGCAUACGACCUACGGGUGAAAGCAGGGGAUCUUCGGACCUUGCGCGAUUGAAUGAGCCGAUGUCGGAUUAGCUAGUUGGCGGGGUAAAGGCCCACCAAGGCGACGAUCCGUAGCUGGUCUGAGAGGAUGAUCAGCCACACUGGAACUGGGACACGGUCCAGACUCCUACGGGAGGCAGCAGUGGGGAAUAUUGGACAAUGGGCGCAAGCCUGAUACAGCCAGACCGCGUGGGUGAAGAAGGCCUUCGGGUUGUAAAGCCCUUUUGUUGGGAAAGAACAGCAGCAGGUUAAUACCCCGCUGUUCUGACGGUACCCAAAGAAUAAGCACCGGCUAACUUCGUG
rnacentral:rRNA from 1 species